UCCCUGGUGGCUCAGAGAUUAGUGUCUGCCUCCAAUGCAGGAGACCCGGGUUCAAUCCCUGGAUUGGGAA
rnacentral:tRNA from 1 species